GAUGAACGCUAGCGGCAGGCUUAAUACAUGCAAGUCGUGGGGCAGCGCAGUGUAGCAAUACAUGGGCGGCGACCGGCAAACGGGUGCGGAACACGUACGCAACCUUCCUUUAACUGGAGAAUAGCCCCUCGAAAGAGGGAUUAAUACUCCGUAACAUCCCGACAUGGCAUCAUGACGGGAUUAUAGCUCCGGCGGUUAAAGAUGGGCGUGCGCCUGAUUAGAAGUUGGCGGGGUAACGGCCCACCAAGUCUGCGAUCAGUAACUGGUGUGAGAGCACGACCAGUCACACGGGCACUGAGACACGGGCCCGACUCCUACGGGAGGCAGCAGUAAGGAAUAUUGGUCAAUGGACGCAAGUCUGAACCAGCCAUGCCGCGUGGAGGAUUAAGGCCCUCUGGGUUGUAAACUCCUUUUAUCUGGGAAG
rnacentral:rRNA from 1 species